AUGAAGACGGGGAUCAAAGUCAUGGUAGCUGUGGGUGAAGUUGCUGUAGCAGCAGCUCUGAGUCAUGAAGUGUUAAAGUCACAGCGCUAUAAACACUCCCAGAGCACUGAAGCAUGUGCUGCCAAUGCAAAGUGUCCUCUAAGUCUCACCCAGCCCACUGUGACAGUUCUGCCCACCUCCAGUGUGGACCUGCAGCAGGAGAAAGUCACACUCAUGUGUGUGGCCUAUAAGGGCUUCCCCUCGGACUGGAGGCUGAGCUGGAAGGUUGAUGGGAGCAGCUUGAGCUCGGGGGAGAGCCACAGCACCGCCGUUCUGCACGCGGACGGCCUCUACAGCUGGAGCAGCACGCUGAGCAUCCACCAGAAGCAGUGGAGGAACAAGGUGGUGACCUGUGAGGCCUCCAACGACAACCAACCUACAGUGGUGAGCUCAGUGGACAGAGAGCAGUGCUAAGAGCUGUGAGCUCACACACACUUUACUCAGCUCACAUUCUACUGUGUGUUACAUGUGGCCUUGACUGCUCAAAUGUCCCACUUUCAUAAUUUCAUUUACAUUAUUAACGGGAGCUCACACACUCCUCAGUUUAAAUCAGCUCUUCUUCUUACUUAUCACCUAAAUAUGUGUUAAGUGUG